rnacentral:lncRNA from 1 species
CCUGGCUCGACUCUCAUGUUUGUCCAUUCAUGAUCAGCAGGCGAUUGUCUCAGGGCAUGAGAGCGAGGAGAUCCAGAAGCUCUCGAAGUUAGGCGGAGACCGAAUAUCAAGUUGAGAUGAAAAUUAUUCGGAUUUGAUGCCUCGAGAUUCGAUUCAUAUUGAGCCUACAGCAAGGUCCGCGAUGAAAAAUGAAGUCCAAUGAGAUCAAGAUCAUCUCAAACGG